rnacentral:lncRNA from 1 species
GGAACCCAGUGGGCAAAGCUGGCAGAAGGAGCAAUGGCGUCUUUUAAUCGGCUCCUUUUAUUUACGUCCAUAUUGUCAGCGCUGUGUUAUGGUGAAGAUGACACAAGGCACCAACCAAAACAUUAUAAAGACAUUGAAGACAACGUGAUGAAGAUCCUCAAUGGAACCGAAGUCGUUACUGUAGUUCGUGGUGUUUAUCGGAUGGCGCCAUAUCCCAUCUGCAUGCGGUCUGUCAAGGUGGAACCAUCACUUAGCCGCCAAUUUCACCACAACAUGUCCUACAAG